rnacentral:rRNA from 1 species
CCUACGUGAGUCAGCAGUGGGGAAUAUUGCACAAUGGGGGAAACCCUGAUGCAGCGACGCCGCGUGAUUGAAGAAUUAUCUCGGUACGUCAAGCUCUAUCAGCAGGGAAGAAAAUGACGGUACCUGACUAAGAAGCCCCGUCUAACUACGUGCCAGCAGCCGCGGUAAUACGUAGUGGGCAAGCUUUAUCCGGAUUUACUGGGUGUAAAGGGAGCGUCGACGGCAGCACAAGUCUGGAGUGAAAUCCCGGGGCUUAACCCCGGAACUGCUUUGGAAACUGGGCGGCUGGAGUGCAGGAGGGGUAAGCGGAAUUCCUGGUGUAGCGGUGAAAUGCGUAGAUAUUAGGAGGAACACCGGUGGCGAAGGCGGCUUACUGGACUGUAACUGACGUUGAGGCUCGAAAGCGUGGGGAGCAAACAGGAUUAGAUACCCGAGUAGUC